CUAUACAUGCAAGUCGAGCGGACAGAAGGGAGCUUGCUCCCGGAUGUUAGCGGCGGACGGGUGAGUAACACGUGGGUAACCUGCCUGUAAGACUGGGAUAACUCCGGGAAACCGGAGCUAAUACCGGAUAGUUCCUUGAACCGCAUGGUUCAAGGAUGAAAGACGGUUUCGGCUGUCACUUACAGAUGGACCCGCGGCGCAUUAGCUAGUUGGUGGGGUAAUGGCUCACCAAGGCGACGAUGCGUAGCCGACCUGAGAGGGUGAUCGGCCACACUGGGACUGAGACACGGCCCAGACUCCUACGGGAGGCAGCAGUAGGGAAUCUUCCGCAAUGGACGAAAGUCUGACGGAGCAACGCCGCGUGAGUGAUGAAGGUUUUCGGAUCGUAAAGCUCUGUUGUUAGGGAAGAACAAGUGCGAGAGUAACUGCUCGCACCUUGACGGUACCUAACCAGAAAGCCACGGCUAACUACGUGCCAGCAGCCGCGGUAAUACGUAGGUGGCAAGCGUUGUCCGGAAUUAUUGGGCGUAAAGGGCUCGCAGGCGGUUUCUUAAGUCUGAUGUGAAAGCCCCCGGCUCAACCGGGGAGGGUCAUUGGAAACUGGGAAACUUGAGUGCAGAAGAGGAGAGUGGAAUUCCACGUGUAGCGGUGAAAUGCGUAGAGAUGUGGAGGAACACCAGUGGCGAAGGCGACUCUCUGGUCUGUAACUGACGCUGAGGAGCGAAAGCGUGGGGAGCGAACAGGAUUAGAUACCCUGGUAGUCCACGCCGUAAACGAUGAGUGCUAAGUGUUAGGGGGUUUCCGCCCCUUAGUGCUGCAGCUAACGCAUUAAGCACUCCGCCUGGGGGAGUACGGUCGCAAGACUGAAACUCAAAGGAAUUGACGGGGGCCCGCACAAGCGGUGGAGCAUGUGGGUUUAAUUCGAAGCAACGCGAAGAACCCUUACCAGGUCUUGACAUCCUCUGACAACCCUAGAGAUAGGGCUUUCCCUUCGGGGACAGAGUGACAGGUGGUGCAUGGUUGUCGUCAGCUCGUGUCGU
rnacentral:rRNA from 1 species